ensembl:lncRNA
CCUUGAUGAGGGUAUUGAGUGCACCCUCACUAAGUUUGCAGAUGACACUAAGCUGGCUGGAAGUGUUGAUCGGCCUGAGGGUAGCAAGGCCCUACAGAGGGAUCUGGAUAGGCUGGAUAGCUGGGCUGAAGCCAGUGGGAUGGGAUUCUACAAGAUCAAAUGCCGGGUCCUGCACUUUGGCCGCAAUAACCCCAGGCAAUGCUACAGGCUUGGGGCAGAGUGGCUGGAAGACUGUGUAGAGGAAAUGGACCUGGGGGUGUUGAUUGAUGCUAGACUGAACAUGAGCCAGCUGUGUGGUCAGCUGGCCAAGAAGGCCAGUGGCAUCCUGGCUUGCAUCAGAAACAGUGUUGCCAGCAGGAACAGGGAAGUAAUUGUCCCCCUGUACUCAGCCCUGGUGAGGCCGCACCUUGAGUACUGUGUCCAGUUUUGGGCCCCUCACUGCAAGAAAGACAUUGAGGCCCUGGAGCGUGUCCAGAGGAGGGCAACAAAGCUGGUGAGGGAUCUGGAGCACAGGUCUUAUGAGGAGCGGCUGAGGGAGCUGGGAUUGUUCAGUCUGGAGAAGAGGAGGCUCAGGGGAGACCUUAUUGCUCUCUAUAACUACCUGAAGGGAGGUUGUAGUGAGCUGGGGGUCAGCCUCUUCUCUCGUGUGACUGGUGAUAGGACUAGAGGGAAUGGCUUCAAGCUGCGCCAGGGAAGGUUCAGGCUGGAUGUUAGGAAAUCCUACUUCUCUGAAAGGGUGGUCAGACACUGGAAUGGUUUGCCCCAGAGGGGUGAUGAAGUCACUGACCCUGGAGGUGUUCAAGGAACGUUUGGAUAUUGUGUUGAGGGACAUGGUUUAGUGAGAACUAUCAGUGAUAGGUGGUCAGUUGGAUUGGAUGAUCUUGUAGGUCUUUUCCAACCCUGGUUUUUCUAUGAUUCUAUGAAAGAUCCUUGCAAUGGGAAUGAAGCAUUUUUCACUGGCCAUUUUCAUCUUAAUAUUAUUAUAAUGGUGCUGCUGACUAGAAAUUGGCCUCUCUUGCUCUUUCAUUCAGUGGCCAAUAUGUAUCUUUUCCUAUUGGGCACACAUAACAAUAAAUCUGUUUCUUGCAUUUCUUUUUAUUUUUUGGAACUAC